CGAGGGGCAGCGGGGGAGUAGCAAUACUCCCGCCGGCGACCGGCGCACGGGUGAGUAACACGUAUGAAACCUGCCCGUAGCAGGGGGAUAAGCGGAAGAAAUUCCGUCUAAUACCGCGUAACAACCCUUGGAGGCAUCUCCUCGGGUUUAAAGGAAGCGAUUCCGGCUACGGAUGGUCAUGCGUCGCAUUAGCUUGUUGGCGGGGUAACGGCCCACCAAGGCGACGAUGCGUAGGGGUUCUGAGAGGAAGGUCCCCCACACUGGUACUGAGACACGGACCAGACUCCUACGGGAGGCAGCAGUGAGGAAUAUUGGUCAAUGGCCGCAGGGCUGAACCAGCCAAGUCGCGUGAGGGAUGACGGUCCUGUGGAUUGUAAACCUCUUUUGUCAGGGAGCAAAGGGCGUCACGUGUGGCGCUUUGCGAGUACCUGAAGAAAAAGCAUCGGCUAACUCCGUGCCAGCAGCCGCGGUAAUACGGAGGAUGCGAGCGUUAUCCGGAUUUAUUGGGUUUAAAGGGUGCGCAGGCGGAAUGUCAAGUCAGCGGUAAAAUUUCGGGGCUCAACCCCGUCGUGCCGUUGAAACUGGCGUUCUUGAGUGAGCGAGAAGUAUGCGGAAUGCGUGGUGUAGCGGUGAAAUGCAUAGAUAUCACGCAGAACUCCGAUUGCGAAGGCAGUAUACCGGCGCUCAACUGACGCUCAUGCACGAAAGCGUGGGUAUCGAACAGGAUUAGAUACCCUGGUAGUCCACGCAGUAAACGAUGAAUACUAACUGUCCGGGCCGAUUGAGGUCUGGGUGGUACAGCGAAAGCGUUAAGUAUUCCACCUGGGGAGUACGCCGGCAACGGUGAAACUCAAAGGAAUUGACGGGGGCCCGCACAAGCGGAGGAACAUGUGGUUUAAUUCGAUGAUACGCGAGGAACCUUACCCGGGCUCAAACGACGGAUGGAUGUUUUAGAAAGAAGGCAGCCCUUCGGGGCAUCCGUCGAGGUGCUGCAUGGUUGUCGUCAGCUCGUGCCGUGAGGUGUCGGCUUAAGUGCCAUAACGAGCGCAACCCCCAUCGCCAGUUACCAGCAAGUAAAGUUGGGGACUCUGGCGAGACUGCCGGCGCAAGCUGUGAGGAAGGCGGGGAUGACGUCAAAUCAGCACGGCCCUUACGUCCGGGGCGACACACGUGUU
rnacentral:rRNA from 1 species